AUUAAUAUCAAUAAUUGAGUGAAAUUCAUCCAUUUAAACUGUAGAGUUUAAAGUGUAGUAUAUAAAAGAUUAUUACAAUUACAAUGCGGAAUAAUAAACUCUCAAAGUGUAAAAUCGAACAAAAAACGACCCAAAGCUUCUUCAACACCACCAAUGAAGUGUUCUUGAUGUUGAGCUCAGAUUUGUGCCAUACUGGAUUAUGCACCGUAGUCCACGGGAAUGGCAAUGGAUAAAUCGAGGAAGGAUCUGGCAGAAGCCACCAAGAAUUUCGCCGGAGUUAUGACAAACUCCCACUUGGUUGCCUCUCUAUGCUCUCUCUCAAAUGUUAUGCCAAGUCCAAGAAUGAGAGAAUGAAAAGGUCUUGUAAUUGUAGAGCCAAUUCAUUUGAAUUCAAAAUUCAAAUAUUGUACUAUGGUCAACAAGAGAGUGACAACACUAGUAUAGGUAAUUGAUCACAAGAUUAAAUCCAACGAUUGGAUUUAAUCUAUGGUCCAAUACUCCAUAACUAGCACAAUCUAAGUCACAUUCUCUAGACCAAUCAACUUGUACCAAUAAUAGGAUGUGAUCCACCUUACAAGUCUUUACCUUGGAUCACAUAACAUCCAUCGCCAAAUUCCCCGGUUACAAGUGAUAUCCAUUAGUGUGGCCUUAUUUUUAUCAUCAUCGCUCACUCCAACUUAGUACCUGCACAACAAUUAACCAUUAUCAAUACUUAAUAUUGAUAAACAUUUGUUGACUUACCAAUCGCAAGUACUUUUGUUCCAACAUCUGCAGGGUUAUCAUCAGUUGCAAUUUGAAGCAAAAUAAAAUUACCAGAAGCUAACAUCUUCCUAAUGAAGUGAUACUUCACCUCAAUAUUCUUUAUUACAUUCAUGAUAAACAUGAUUUUUACACAACAUCAAUGAACUUUGACUAUCAGUAAAAAUCAUAGCGUUAUCAUUCAAGAAGUUUAAUUCACAUAGAAGGCCUUUCAGCCACAUGCUUUCCUUUACAGCUUUAUUUAAUGCAACAUAUUCUGCUUCAGUGCUGGAAAGUAUAGCUAUAGGUUGCAACUGUAAUUUCCAAGUGAUACAAUUAUCACCUAAAGUGAAGAAGUAAGAAGUGAUAGAUUUCCUCUGAUCUUUAUCCCCCACAAAGUCAGAAUCUACAUAUCAUUUAAGUUCUAAUUUGUUACUUCUUCUUUCAAACACUAAUCCCCUUUUUAAAGAUCCAGCUAGGUAUCUUAAUAGCCAUUUAAAUGUAAUCCAAUGUGGUUUGCCUGGGUUAGACAUAAACCUACUCAAGAAACUAAUUGCAUAUGCAAGGUCCGGUCUUGUGGUAAUCAUAGAAUACUAUACAGACCCAAUGGCAUUAGCAUAGGGAACAUUACUCAUUUCAUGCAUUUCCUCUUCAGUUUUAGGGCAUUGUGUAGAUGAUAAGUUCGUGUGUGCAA
rnacentral:lncRNA from 1 species